rnacentral:tRNA from 1 species
GCACCCGUAGCUCAGUUGGAUAGAGCGUCUGUUUGCGGAACAGGAGGUCAUGGGUUCGACUCCCUUCGGGUGCA